CGUGAGCAUGUGGUUUAAUUCGGAUGCAACCGCGAAGAACCUUACCUACCUCUUGACAUCCAGAGAACUNAGCAGAGAUGCUUUGGUGCNUCGGNAACUCUGAAGACAGGUGCUGCAUGGCUGUCGUCAGCUCGUGUUGUGAAAAUGUUGGGUUAAGUCCCGCAACGAGCGCAACCCUUAUCCUUUGUUGCCAGCGGUCCGGCCGGGAACUCAAAGGAGACUGCCAGUGAUAAACUGGAGGAAGGUGGGGAUGACGUCAAGUCAUCAUGGCCCUUACGAGUAGGGCUACACACGUGCUACAAUGGCAUAUACAAAGAGAAGCGACCUCGCGAGAGCAAGCGGACCUCAUAAAGUAUGUCGUAGUCCGGAUUGGAGUCUGCAACUCGACUCCAUGAAGUCGGAAUCGCUAGUAAUCGUGGAUCAGAAUGCCACGGUGAAUACGUUCCCGGGCCUUGUACACACCGCCCGUCACACCAUG
rnacentral:rRNA from 1 species